rnacentral:ribozyme from 1 species
CUUUUUUUUUUUUUUUUUUUUAAUUUUUCGCGGGUGGUGUAAAAAGCGCGAUGGACGAAAUGUAGAUAGACGACGCACGGGCACGAAAAGGAGCUCUAUCUAGAAAAAAAAAGUCUCGAAACCAACCAAAAAAAGAGUUUCUUUUUUUAUGUGUUUAAUGUAUACACACAUACAAUAUUAAGGUAUGAC